UGUCGAUCUGGGCCAGAGGCGGGGUGAAGACGGAGGGUGGAAGGGUUAAGCGGAAGUAGUGGGCGUAAAGCGCGCGGAGGCGGGUGUGCAAGGUGGAGGUGAAAUCCCCGGGCUUAACCUGGGCACUGCCUUCAAAACGGCAGGGCUAGAGUAUGGGAGAGGAAGGUAGAAUUCCAUGUGGAGCGGUGAAAUGCGUAGAGAUCGGGAGGAAUACCGAUGGCGAAGGCGGCCAUCUGGCCUGAUACUGACGCUGAGGUGCGAAAGCGUGGGGAGCAAACAGGAUUAGAUACCCGGGUAGUC
rnacentral:rRNA from 1 species